rnacentral:rRNA from 1 species
CUGGGCGUUAAGUUGCAGGGUAUAGACCCGAAACCCGGUGAUCUAGCCAUGGGCAGGUUGAAGGUUGGGUAACACUAACUGGAGGACCGAACCGACUAAUGUUGAAAAAUUAGCGGAUGACUUGUGGCUGGGGGUGAAAGGCCAAUCAAACCGGGAGAUAGCUGGUUCUCCCCGAAAGCUAUUUAGGUAGCGCCUCGUGAAUUCAUCUCCGGGGGUAGAGCACUGUUUCGGCAAGGGGGUCAUCCCGACUUACCAACCCGAUGCAAACUGCGAAUACCGGAGAAUGUUAUCACGGGAGACACACGGCGGGUGCUAACGUCCGUCGUGAAGAGGGAAACAACCCAGACCGCCAGCUAAGGUCCCAAAGUCAUGGUUAAGUGGGAAACGAUGUGGGAAGGCCCAGACAGCCAGGAUGUUGGCUUAGAAGCAGCCAUCAUUUAAAGAAAGCGUAAUAGCUCACUGGUCGAGUCGGCCUGCGCGGAAGAUGUAACGGGGCUAAACCAUGCACCGAAGCUGCGGCAGCGACGCUGAUGCGUUGUUGGGUAGGGGAGCGUUCUGUAAGCCUGUGAAGGUGUGCUGUGAGGCAUGCUGGAGGUAUCAGAAGUGCGAAUGCUGACAUAAGUAACGAUAAAGCGGGUGAAAAGCCCGCUCGCCGGAAGACCAAGGGUUCCUGUCCAACGUUAAUCGGGGCAGGGUGAGUCGACCCCUAAGGCGAGGCCGAAAGGCGUAGUCGAUGGGAAACAGGUUAAUAUUCCUGUACUUGGUGUUACUGCGAAGGGGGGACGGAGAAGGCUAUGUUGGCCGGGCGACGGUUGUCCCGGUUUAAGCGUGUAGGCUGGUUUUCCAGGCAAAUCCGGAAAAUCAAGGCUGAGGCGUGAUGACGAGGCACUACGGUGCUGAAGCAACAAAUGCCCUGCUUCCAGGAAAAGCCUCUAAGCAUCAGGUAACAUCAAAUCGUACCCCAAACCGACACAGGUGGUCAGGUAGAGAAUACCAAGGCGCUUGAGAGAACUCGGGUGAAGGAACUAGGCAAAAUGGUGCCGUAACUUCGGGAGAAGGCACGCUGAUAUGUAGGUGAAGCGACUUGCUCGUGGAGCUGAAAUCAGUCGAAGAUACCAGCUGGCUGCAACUGUUUAUUAAAAACACAGCACUGUGCAAACACGAAAGUGGACGUAUACGGUGUGACGCCUGCCCGGUGCCGGAAGGUUAAUUGAUGGGGUCAGCGCAAGCGAAGCUCUUGAUCGAAGCCCCGGUAAACGGCGGCCGUAACUAUAACGGUCCUAAGGUAGCGAAAUUCCUUGUCGGGUAAGUUCCGACCUGCACGAAUGGCGUAAUGAUGGCCAGGCUGUCUCCACCCGAGACUCAGUGAAAUUGAACUCGCUGUGAAGAUGCAGUGUACCCGCGGCAAGACGGAAAGACCCCGUGAACCUUUACUAUAGCUUGACACUGAACAUUGAGCCUUGAUGUGUAGGAUAGGUGGGAGGCUUUGAAGUGUGGACGCCAGUCUGCAUGGAGCCGGCCUUGAAAUACCACCCUUUAAUGUUUGAUGUUCUAACGUUGACCCGUGAUCCGGGUUGCGGACAGUGUCUGGUGGGUAGUUUGACUGGGGCGGUCUCCUCCUAAAGAGUAACGGAGGAGCACGAAGGUUGGCUAAUCCUGGUCGGACAUCAGGAGGUUAGUGCAAUGGCAUAAGCCAGCUUGACUGCGAGCGUGACGGCGCGAGCAGGUGCGAAAGCAGGUCAUAGUGAUCCGGUGGUUCUGAAUGGAAGGGCCAUCGCUCAACGGAUAAAAGGUACU